rnacentral:lncRNA from 1 species
CAUCUGUCUUCAAAUGUGGGGUCCAGCUCUUCCGGUGUGGCAUCCUGAGACUAAGGGAUCUGUGGCUCCCUAAUCAUAACAAGUUUCCUGAGGGAAGUAAAUGUUGCACACUCAGCAUCACGGUAUUCUAGUUUGUUCCUGACUGUUGACUUUGUCCUAUGGGAGAGGUCAUCUUUGUGCAAAUUGGCAAUCCACAAGAAGUGAGCUGUGCACAAGAGCAUUUGAAGACUCAUGACACACAGUCAUAGCAGGAAGUGGCAAGGCAGCAAGCUGUGAAGAGGCUUAAGGGGAAGAUGGGGACCAGAGGCUGAGAAAAGAUACAGAUCAUCCAGAGAGCAAUUGUAAUAGACACCGAGGUGAGCUGCUCAGAUUGUGGGUGUGUGGUCCACCAAGGAACCUCCAGCUGAUGCUCCCUUCUGAGUCUGCCUCAGCAGGGAAAUGCCAUGUCUUACUGGCGCAGCCCAGCCAGGGGGGGUAUAAAUGGUAUAAAGGCCUGGCUAUACUGCCUGAUGGUUUGUGCAGCUCCUUCUUCUGUACGACCCUGCAGCCUCCCUCUUCAAGUACUGACCUCUAAUAAACAUCUUGCAUUCAAGCUCCAUCUCCACUCCCUGAGAACCCAACCUAUGAGGCUAAGUUUAAAAGAAUUUACAGCAAGAGCAGCAAAAGCACAUUAAAA